rnacentral:sRNA from 1 species
UUGGCUUGUAUUAUGCUUGGCUAGAUGAGACAUCUGGGCAGAUAGUAAUGGAAAUUACCUCUUCCAAAGAGAUAAAGUGGAGAAGAAACUCCUGUAUGUUUAUAACCUGCCCUUGGUAGCCUGUCUCCAUUAAACCCUAUCUAAGUGAGCUAGACAACCCCCAGCGGUUGGCAGACUUUCGCUGUAAGAGGCUGGAUGGUGAAUAUUUUAGGCACUGUGGGCCACAUGCAGUCUCUGUCACGUAUUCUUGUUUUAAACUUUCUUGGCUCAUGGGCCUUGAGAGCUAUGGUUUGCCAACCCCUUAUCUAGGGUUUAGGGUCUUUAAAGAACCUAUUAGAACCCUCUCUCCUCCAUGGGAAAAAACCCUGAGAUGUUUGAGAACCUUUAUUUACUCAUUAUUUUUCUUUCCUUCUCUCAAUCAGCAGCACCCACAGUAGGACAAGAUAUGGGGUGGAGACCUGCGGGUAGUUGGGCAGAUAACCUUGGGGCCCACCUGCCUAGUGGUGUGUCAGUGAAAGUUAAUCCAUUUUCAGUCUCCUGGGAACAUCUUUUUUAACUCCCACUUUCAUUUUUCUCUGCCUGUUUCCCUUCAGAAAUCAUUUCUACCAGUUCGGAGAGAUCCGGACGAUCACUGUUGUGCAGAGACAGCAGUGUGCUUUCAUCCAGUUUGCCACACGGCAGGCUGCAGAAGUGGCUGCUGAGAAGUCCUUUAAUAAGUUGAUUGUAAAUGGCCGCAGACUGAAUGUGAAAUGGGGAAGAUCCCAGGCAGCCAGAGGAAAAGAAAAAGAGAAAGAUGGAACUACAGACUCUGGGAUCAAACUGGAACCUGUUCCAGGAUUGCCAGGAGCUCUUCCUCCUCCUCCUGCGGCAGAAGAAGAAGCCUCUGCCAACUACUUCAACUUGCCCCCAAGUGGUCCUCCAGCUGUGGUGAACAUUGCUCUGCCACCGCCCCCUGGCAUUGCUCCACCCCCACCCCCAGGUUUUGGGCCACACAUGUUCCACCCAAUGGGACCACCCCCUCCUUUCAUGCGGGCUCCAGGACCAAUCCACUAUCCUUCUCAGGACCCUCAGAGGAUGGGAGCUCAUGCUGGAAAACACAGCAGCCCCUAGCACCUUGUCACCACUCUGGGGCUCUGUGGAAGAAAGGGCACUUAAAACUCCCAGUAAAUCUUGGAAUAAAUAUAUUUUUCCUUCCCUUGUAGUUUCCAUGGUAGCUGAAUGUGCUCAGAUGUGAGCAGUCAGAGACUGACAGCCAUGCUUUCCUAUACUUGUUCAAAGGAUCGAUGGACCGUAAAUAAGCUGCCAUUAACACAUCUGGUUACUGCUAUAACAUGACUAGUAAAACCUAAUGCCUGUUCCCUUUACCCGUGUGGGGGACAAGCAGAUGAGUGAAUUGGAAUGUCCAGCAGAGUUACCAUCCCAAUUAUAUGUUCAUUUUGUAUAUUUUUUGGUCGGGGGAAAAAUUGACCUGCAGUAAAAAAACCUUUGACCAUUUUUAUGUCCAUUGGAUAUUUUCCUUUUUAUCAUCUUAAAAAAAAGAUAACUAGUACUAAUCAUUGUAGUGGCCUAAGUGUGAUUUAACUCUUUUGAAGUCACACCCUCAGAAAGAUGAGUAGAAACCAGCACCAGCACAGCCCAGAUCUUUUCUUUCCUCUCCUUUUCCUCAUUUAUUCCUAAAGGAAUCUGACCAUUUUACGUCUCUACGGCCCAAAAAAAGACAAAAAUAAAAAUUCCUUUUUAUUCCUGUCAACUGGAUGGAAACACAAAUUUCAUGGAGCUGUGUACCAUUGAAGAAACCUGGUGUCUGGCAUGAAAUUACUGUAAAGAACUUCCUGUAAAACACGUUCUUUAACAAACUGAAAUGAAAAGCAUUGGAGCGUUUGAAUGAAAGACGUGACCUCCUGCUGGGACUCUGAUGGUCUUCAGCAUUCACCUUCGUGUGUCUUCAGUGUCUCAUUGUCAUCCCUGCUUCUGUUUGGUCUUAGAGUGUUUGGAUAUAACUGAAUUGUAGAUGGUAAAGGAAAUUUGAUGUGUUGUUUGUUUUUAAAUAAUUAAAACGGGUCAAUUUUU